rnacentral:rRNA from 1 species
UUGGAGGGCAAGUCUGGUGCCCGCAGCCGCGGUAAUUCCAGCUCCAAUAGCGUAUAUUAAAGUUGUUGCAGUUAAAAAGCUCGUAGUUGAAUUUCGGGGUUAGUAGAUUGGUCAUGCCUCUGGUAUGUACUGGUCUUACUGAUUCCUCCUUCCUGAUGAACCGUAAUGCCAUUUAUUUGGUGUUGCGGGGAAUUUGGAUUGUUACUUUGAAAAAAUUAGAGUGUUUAAAGCAAGCUAACGCUUGAAUACAUUAGCAUGGAAUAAUGAGAUAGGACGUUCGAUCCUAUUUUGUUGGUUUCUAGGAUUGACGUAAUGAUUAAUAGGGAUAGUUGGGGGCAUUAGUAUUCAAUUGUCAGAGGUGAAAUUCUUGGAUUUACUGAAGACUAACUACUGCGAAAGCAUUUGCCAAGGAUGUUUUCAUUAAUCAAGAACGAAAGUUAGGGGAUCGAAGACGAUCAGAUACCGUCGUAGUCUUAACCAUAAACUAUGCCGACUAGGGAUCGGAUGAUGUUAAUUUUUUAAUGACUCAUUCGGCGCCUUACGGGAAAC